GCUGUGACGUGGGUGGUUCGCCGCCUGCGAUGCUGCGAGAAGUCCAUUGAACCUUAUCAUUUAGAGGAAGGAGAAGUCGUAACAAGGUUUCCGUAGGUGAACCUGCGGAAGGAUCAUUGUCGAGACCCGAACGAUCGAGCGAUUUGAUAACUCGUGAAUAAAUUUGGCAGCUCUUUUUGUUGCUCCGCACCCAUUCAUCUAUUUCAUGAAUCGCUUUAUGGGACCGUGACAUAGGCAAAUGGGAGAUCAAUUGGGCGCAGCUUUGUGCCAAGAAAAAUAUGUAGCAUGAGGAGCUUCGAUCACUUAUCAUCAAAGCGUACAACGUUUUGUGUAGUGGUUGAUUGUUCCUGGAGAGUUGUAGGACUCUCGGCAAUGGAUAUCUUGGCUCUCGCAUCGAUGAAGAGCGCAGCGAAAUGCGAUACGUGGUGCGAAUUGCAGAAUCCCGUGAACCAUCGAGUUUUUGAACGCAAGUUGCGCCUGAGGCCAGUUGACCGAGGGCACGUCCGCCUGGGUGUCAAGCAUUGAAUCGCUCCAUUGCACACCAUGUCAUCCGUUUGAUGCGUUGGUGGUGUCUUGGAUGCGGAGAAUGACCCGUCAUGUGUGACGCAUGGCGGGUUGAAGAGCUGGAUGAUUAUUCUCUUAGCAAUGACCGAUUAAUGGGUGGGAAUGAACCCCCAAUUAUCCUUAUCGUUGUCAGGGUGUUUUGAGAAUGUUGUGCAUAUCCCAAGAAAUAACCCAAGUCAAGUGGCAUAAGCAAAAUGAAAUGCGACCCCAGGAUGGGUGGGAUGACCCGCUGAGUUUAAG
rnacentral:sRNA from 1 species